GAAUGAAUGAAUGAAUCAACCAUGCAGAGGGUAAAGGCCAACAGGCAGCUUCUGAUGAUGUUGGAUACUCUGCUCAUUUCCCCACCAGUGUAAAACCUUGAAUUAAUGGAGGAGGUGGUUGGGGUGGGGGCAGGAUUAGCUUGUAAAUAGGAUGCAAUAAAUACAGGGGAGGUAUAAUAGCCUGUAUUUAUUGGGCAUCAACUAUAUGCCAAGGAUUCUUCAUGUUUAUCUCUACUCCUUAUGAAUACCCUGCAAGGUAGGUGUCUUUAUCCCCAUUUUACAGAAGAAUGAGUUGCCCAGUGAUGGCUUUAUGCUACCAUCAGUUGAAGAUCCAAGAUGGAAACCUAAAGUCCACAUUUUUCCUGCUAUGCCAAGCUACCCUUAAACAGGUAGUGUAUUCUCUCUGAGCAGGCCUGUGUUGCCUGAGUUUUAAUCCAAGACGUUGCAAUAAUCUCUCAUCUUCAGGUGGACUCCUGACUUGGCUGAUGCUCCUUUUGGUUUAGCUUUGUUGUUAAAUUAGUCUGUUCCUGCACAGUACCACUUAUAUAAGGAUUUCACAGCACAUUACGAUCAAGUGCCUUGAACAUACAGUGGCAAUGAAGUUGUUUCUCCCAGUUGAAGAUGAAAAGACUGCAGCAGAAGGAAGUUAUGUGACUCGUUAGAGAAUGUAAAGGAGUGAGUCAUUGAUGGAGCGUGUAUGGAAAUGAGGCGUUUAGGAGACUGUUAGGGGAACUGAUAUGGAUCCGGGACAUACAAUAGUAGGCAUCUAUUGCUGUAGUUGUGAAAUUGUUUAAUGCUUUUUGCUUCUUCAACUUCAAUGCUUAUAACUGUAUGUCCCAGAAUGCAACAAAGCAAUGCCAAGAGACUGUAGACCACAUGGAACACAGAUGUCAAUCACAGGUCAUUCUGCCUACUAGAGAUGAGUUUGUCUUUUUGUGAGGCUACUGGAUCCUAUUUGUGACCCAUGUUUCUACUAACACUUUUGCGGACCCUCUAUUUACAAGAGUCUCUACAUGGUCAAGGGUGUGAGGAGGAGCGAGCAGUCAGAAAGGUGCAGAGGUCCUUCCUGGACCUUUCCUUUUACGUUUAUUAGAUGAUAUCUUUCAUUUGCCACAUCCUUCCAGCAGAUGGGUGGAUUACAUCCUCCAGGUGAAAGAUGAGAGCAGAAGAGCUAAUUUGGCUGACUGCUACUUCCUAUGGGACCUCAGGUCCUUGUAAGGGGCCCAGCUGCCCCAGUGGUCUAUGGUCUCUGGAAAAUGGAAAUAGAAAAACAUCCUGCCCCUACUUUUAACAAACUGUGGAGUUCCUGGCUUAUUUUCUAAAUCAACAUGUUGGUGAAUGUACUGAUGGAGCUUGGGAGGUGGUGUAGUUUUGAGUGAUGAAGUGUGGAAGUGUUUUGAGCCAUGGUCACCUGUUAGGCUAGAAUUCCCCAUGGAGGCCCUCCUCUUUGUGACUUGUAUACCUUUAUUCUUCCCCCUCCAAACCCCAAAUAGACACAGUAAUAGAGAAACACCACUAGGCAGACUAAUAUCUGAUAAGUGCUACCCUUAUUAUCCCAAAUGACUUGAGAAAAGAAAUUGAAGACAUAGUGACUUUUCCAUGAAUAUACUAAGAAGGAUGAGGGAAGAGGCAGAGUUUGGUCCUUUUCUGGUCAUAGGGAAGGAGAGAGAUGGUAUGUCUGAAAUAAUCCAUUUUGCUUUUUCCAUUUACUGCCUUAAAAAAUAAAAGUAAAAUAUGAACCCACAGAUGAGGAAGAGCUCGAGAAAAAUAAAUGAAAUGCUGAGGAAUUGGCAUACCCCUCCCGAAGAAGGUAGGUUUGCCAGGAAUUUUGUGGGGGAAAGAAGAAACAAUGCAGUAAUACCCAUAUGCAUAUCUGUGGAGGCAGGAAAUGCUUUUUGAAAAUUAAAUUUCAAACAGACAGUGAUGAUUUUGAUAUUGAGACACUUGGACAGAGAAAACCCAGGACGAAUUUCAAAAUUUUGCUUUCUAAUAUUCAUCUCCUUUCCUUCCAGGAAGCAAAAUUUAUGAACUUCAGAAUUAAAUUCAAAGGAUAUAGUACUUGGUAUGCUGGAAAUAUUCGCUAGCAAAUAUGUCAGACUCUAAUAAAGAUGGGUCUGACAUAUUUCCAUGGGAAAGAAAGGCAUCUUGUCUUUUUUAUUCUUUCAAAUCAGGAAUGUGAAAUGCAUUUCAUUAACCCUGACGCAUCAGGGGGCCCUCAGCUAACAUAUUUCAUUCAGCAAAAGGGCACAAUAUACCUUUCUCUCCUAUUGCCUGCUUGCUUUGAGAAAUCUUUCUGCCCUUCACACACACAUGAGAAGCACAUCUGAAAGGUCUAUAAUUUUCCAAACUGUGUCCUCAACCAGGUGAAUUGCACAAAGGAUCACUCAAUCCUUCCAACCGAGGAGAGAAACUGUGAUUGGAAAGCUCCCUUCCCAAAGGUGUGCCCCCUGAAUUCUGGGAUUGCAUAAUAGAUAAAAGAGAAGACAGACACACAGAGCGAGAAGGUGUUGUGAAGAACGGGGCAGAGAUUGGAGCGAUGCAGCCACAGGGCAAGGAAUGCCUGAAGCCACCAGCAGCUGGAAGAAGGAUUCUCUCCUAGAGAUUUCAGAGGGAGCAUGCUCUGCAAACACUUUGAUUUUGGACUUCUGGCCUCCAGAACUCAUCACCCCAGCAGUGACCUCUCACCCUGGAAGCAGUAUUAGUUCCAGUUGGUAGCAGUUUCCAGCCUCUUUCAAUACUCCCAGUACCAGCUCCAUCACAAGUGCUCUGAGGUACCAGCACCAGCUGGGCAGUGCUCCCUCCUCAGAAGUCUGAGUCCUAUGUCUGAGGGCCCCUUCUGCAAGCCUCUAGGGUCUGCUGACCCCAGCCCCAGAGCUGUUUGUUAGCUACUUACAGUUACUGGCUUUUGUUACCUCCUGGUUCCCUGUUUGCCUUUUCAGCCUCCCUA
rnacentral:lncRNA from 1 species